AAGUCUUUUGUGUUAGCUUUCCUCUGAUAUCAAUAAAAAUUCUCUUAAAGUUUUCUCAUCUAAAUUUUGCGAAGACUUUGGAUUAACAAGUAGUUUGUCUAGUUUGUUCAAUAAGGGUGAGCAUUGAUAACAUGCUGAAGCAUUCCACUUGUUUAGUCUUUGGAAAUAGCUUUGUAAAAGUAUUUUUGCUGAUGUUGUAAUAUUAAUGAUUUGCUGGAACCAAGUUGUUUACUUGUCUU